UACGGGUAGCUGGUCUGAGAGGAUGGUCAGCCACACUGGGACUGAGACACUGCCCAGACUCCUACGGGAGGCUGCAGUCGAGAAUCAUUCACAAUGCGCGAAAGCGUGAUGAUGCGACGCUGCGUGGAGGAUGACGGCCUUCGGGUUGUAAACUCCUGUCAUGAGGGAAAAAUAGGCUCGGCGCUAAUAUCGUCGGGAAUUGAUGGUACCUCAAGAGGAAGCCACGGCUAACUCUGUGCCAGCAGCCGCGGUAAUACAGAGGUGGCAAGCGUUGUUCGGAUUUACUGGGCGUAAAGGGUGCGUAGGCGGUUUUGUAUGUCGGAUGUGAAAAGCCCACUGCUCAACGGUGGAAUUGCAUUCGAAACUGCAGGACUAGAGUACAGGAAGGGAGAGCGGAAUUCCUGGUGUAGCGGUGAAAUGCGUUGAUAUCAGGAGGAACACCGGUGGCGAAGGCGGCUCUCUGGAAUGUUACUGACGCUGAGGCACGAAAGCUGGGGGAGCGAACAGGAUUAGAUACCCUGGUAGUCCCAGCUGUAAACGGUGCGCACUUGGUGUGGGGAUUUUGACCGUCCCCGUGCCGUAGCUAACGCGUUAAGUGCGCCGCCUGGGGAGUACGGCCGCAAGGCUAAAACUCAAAGAAAUUGACGGGGGCCCGCACAAGCGGAGGAGCAUGUGGCUUAAUUCGAUGCAACGCGAAGAACCUUACCAGGGCUUGACAUGCAGCUGCACGUCCGUCGAAAGGCGGAAAGCUUUCGAAGGCGCUGCACAGGUGGUGCAUGGCUGUCGUCAGUUCGUGCCGUGAGGUGUUUGGUUAAGUCCAGCAACGAACGCAACCCCUGUGUUUAGUUGCCACCGCGGGUGAUGAGCCUGCGAGCACUCUAGACAGACUGCCCGUACAAGCGGGAGGAAGGUGGGGAUGACGUCAAGUCAGUAUGUCCCUUAUGUCCUGGGCUGCACACGUGCUACAAUGGUCGGUACAAUGGGAAGCGAAGCCGCGAGGCGAAGCAAAUCCCCAAAGCCGGCCCCAGUUCGGAUUGGAGUCUGCAAUUCGACUCCAUGAAGUUGGAUUCGCUAGUAACGGCGUAUCAGCUACGACGCCGUGAAUACGUUCACCGGGCAUUGUACACACCGCCCGUCACAUCAUGAAAGCCGUCUGCACCCGAAGUCCCCGA
rnacentral:rRNA from 1 species